GAUGAACGCUGGCGGCGUGCCUAAUACAUGCAAGUCGAGCGGACGGACGAGAAGCUUGCUCCUCUGCUGUUAGCGGCUGACGGGUGGGUGACACGUACAUCACCUUCUUAUUUUACUUGGAUGAUUUCGGGAAACCGGAGCUACUACCGGCUCAUAUUUUGUACCGCAUGGAUCAAAAGUGAAUGACGGUCUUGCUGUCACUUAUAGCUGGUUCCGCGCUGCAUUAGCUAGUUGGUAAGGUAACGGCUUACCAAGGCUACGAUGCGUAGCCGACCUGAGAGGAUGAUCAGCCACACUGGAACUGAGACACGGUCCAGACUCCUACGGGAGGCAGCAGUAGGGAAUAUUCGGCAAAGGGCGAAAGCCUGACCGAGCAACGCCGCGUGAGUGAUGAAGGUCUUCGGAUCGUAAAGCUCUGUUAUUAGGGAAGAACAGAAGUGUAAGAAACCCUGCACGUUCUGACGGUACCUAAACAGAAAGCAACGGCUAACUUCGUG
rnacentral:rRNA from 1 species